AGUGAACGCUGGCGGCAGGCCUAACACAUGCAAGUCGAACGGCAGCACAGUAAGAGCUUGCUCUUAUGGGUGGCGAGUGGCGGACGGGUGAGGAAUACAUCGGAAUCUACUCUUUCGUGGGGGAUAACGUAGGGAAACUUACGCUAAUACCGCAUACGACCUACGGGUGAAAGCGGAGGACCUUCGGGCUUCGCGCGAUUGAAUGAGCCGAUGUCGGAUUAGCUAGUUGGCGGGGUAAAGGCCCACCAAGGCGACGAUCCGUAGCUGGUCUGAGAGGAUGAUCAGCCACACUGGAACUGAGACACGGUCCAGACUCCUACGGGAGGCAGCAGUGGGGAAUAUUGGACAAUGGGCGCAAGCCUGAUCCAGCCAUGCCGCGUGGGUGAAGAAGGCCUUCGGGUUGUAAAGCCCUUUUGUUGGGAAAGAAAAGCAGUCGGUUAAUACCCGAUUGUUCUG
rnacentral:rRNA from 1 species